GUCCAGAUAGCCUAGUGGUUAAAGGUAGCACAUCUAGCAUUGUGUCUUAGCUUACAUGCUGAGGUCCUGGGUUCAAAUCCACAUCUGGUCA